rnacentral:lncRNA from 1 species
CAAGACAAUACCUAAUUAAGUAUGAUUUGUAAUUAUUCUGACUCACUUGCAAUCUUUCCAUGAGUGAUUUCCAUCACUUUUAAUGGAUUUUGCUACUGACUGGUCAGGUUCAAGGUUUGUCUACAAUCAAAUUAAAAAGUUAGUACACAUGUUUAUUAUUUACAAAUAAUUUGUAUUUGUGUUAUUAAAUGAUAAAAUUUAUGUCGAGGAAGGUUAGAAUUUUGGUUUUAGUAAGAAUACAUUGAGGAUGGGAUCACAUGAACUUGAAACUUGUUCUUGUUUCUAUGAAUUAUGGUUUUCUAGAUGGACCAUUCUUGUUUUUAUGCAUGGGG